rnacentral:rRNA from 1 species
UUGCUGUGGUAUUUUGACUAUACAAAGGUAUUGAAAUAAGAUUUUAAUUGAAUGCUAAGAGAAUGGAAUUUCAGAAAAAAACUUUUUUUAAAUUAAAAAUUGAAAUUUUUUUAAUUUGUGCAGAAACAAUUAUUAACAUUAAGGACAAGAAGACCCUAUGAAUUUUUGAAAUUUUUAAUAAGAGUAAUUUACUAUUAUUAUUAAAAAUUUUAGCUGGGGCGGCUAAAAAAUAUAAUUAACUUUUUAAGAAUAAAACGAUCCACUAAUAAUGAUUACAUG